rnacentral:rRNA from 1 species
AUGGCGGCGCCCUACCGCCGUCUCCUCCUCCUCCGCCGCCUCUCCAUCUCCCUCUCCCAAUCCCACCUCGCCCCGCACCCCCAGCCCGCCCAGCUGCUCUCUCCCGCCCGCCACUUCGCCUUCUCCUCCGCGGAGGAGGCCGCGGCCGAGCGCCGCCGCCGCAAGCGCCGCCUCCGCAUCGAGCCGCCGCUGCACGCCCUCCGCCGCGACCCCUCCACCCCGCCGCCCCCGCGCGACCCCAACGCGCCCCGCCUCCCCGACACCACCUCCUCCCUGGUCGGCCCGCGCCUCAGCCUCCACAACCGCGUGCAGGCCCUCAUCCGCUCCGGCGACCUCGACGGCGCCGCCGCCGCCUCCCGCGCGGCCGUCUCCUCGCGCGUCCGCCCCACCGUCUUCACCUGCAACGCGGUCGCCGCCUCCAUGGUCCGCGCCGGCCGGCCCGACGACGCCGUCGAGCUCUUCGCCUUCUUCUUCCGCCGCUCCAACAUCGUCCCCAACGUCGUCUCCUACAACACCCUCAUCCUCGCCCACUGCGACGCCGCCCGCGUCGACGACGCGCUCCAGGCAUACCAGGAGAUGCUCGACGGCCUCACCUCCUUCUCCCCCUCCUCAGUCUCCUACCGCCACCUCACCAAGGGCCUCGUCGCCGCCGGCCGCGUCCAGGACGCCCUCGACCUCCUCCGUGACAUGCUCAACCGCGGCCAGGGCGCCGACUCCAUCGUCUACAAGAACCUCAUCGACGGCUACGUCGCCCUCGACGACUGGGACAAGGCCUUCCAGCUCUUCGACGAGCUCCGGGAGAAGGCCACCGUCUACGACGGCGUCGUGCACACCAGCUUCAUGGAGGGCUACUGGAAGAAAGGCAUGGACAAGGAGGCCAUGGACAGCUACAGCUCCCUUCUGGACAGGAAGUUCAAGAUGACGCCGGCCACCUGCAACGUGCUGCUCCAGACACUCUUCAGCCACGACAAGCACAAGGAGGCACACGACCUGUGGGAGACCAUGGUCGACAACCACAACCCGCCGAGCUUCAUCGGCGUCAACAGCGAGUCCUACACUGUCAUGGUCAACCAGUGCUUCAAGGAGGGCAGGUUCCAGGACGCCAUCGAGGUGUUCCACAGGCAGCCGAGGAAGAGUGUGCAGAUGGACGUCGCCUGCUUCAACAACAUCAUCGGGAAGCUCUGCGAGAACGGGAUGCUAGCAGAGACGGAGCAGCUCUUCGAGGAGAUGGAGAGCAAGUCGGUGCUUCCAGAUGUGUACACCUACACUUACCUGGUCGACUCGUGCUUCAGGGAUGGCCGUGUGGAUGAUACCAUGCAGUAUUUCCACAAAAUGGCGGACGGGAGGGAGCACGGGCCGAAGUUCAAUAUCGCUUUCUUCAAUCGGAUGUUUCAAGGGCUUACAGAAGCUGGCCGGAUUGAUGAUGUCUUGAAGGUGUAUGGAAGGAUGCCUGACAAGGAGAUUAAGCCGUCCACGGCCACCUUUGAGAUCCUGGUUAAGGCGUCCUGCAAGGAAGGGGAAUUGGAUAGAGCACGAGACCUGGUGAGGGACAUGGCCAGAGGCGGUGUUGUCGCUCCUCCUGAGUUCCGUGAGUCUAUUGUUGAGAUUUUCAAGACUGCUGAUCGCCAGGAAGAGAUUGAGCAAGCUUUUGAUGAAAAGCCAGUGCCACCACCUCCUUCGCCAAGGCCAGAGUAUCGCCCUCGGAGUCUACCUGGAUUUGCAUCUAAUCAGACGCCGGGUAGCUACGCAACUAACCAAGGCAAACUAGGCUAUGGUUCUCAACCAUUUCAUCAUGGCAAUGCUGUACCUCAAAUCCUGCGACCUGAGGGGAUGUCUUCUGAACCCCGUCAGCCUGCGUUUGGAAGCCAGCAAGUUCAGAAAACAGAAGUUGGUGCUUCUAAUACAUCACAAUAUGGGCUUCCUUCUCCUCAAGGAUCACCACCUGGGACGUCCCUGCCUCAAGGUCAUCUGCCGGAGUUUGGUUCCUCUCGUCCUUGGCAGCAAGCAGUCGGUGCUUCUCAAGUGCAACAACCUAAAUUUAGCUCGGAUUCACCGGUGCAGUCUGGAUUUGGUACUCCUCAACCGCAACAAUCAACACAUAUCGCUCAUCAGACUCAACAUGCCGGGUUUGGCACACCUCGUCCAUGGCAGACAGGGUUUGGCUCUCAGCAAGCACAGCAGCCCGGGUAUGGCUCUCAGCAAGCGCAGCAGCCAGGGUAUGGCUCUCACCAAAUGCAGCAGCCCGGAUAUGGCUCUCAGCAAGCGCAGCAGCCAGGGUAUGACUCUCAGCAAGCGCAGCAGCCCAGGUAUGGCUCUCAGCAAGGUCAACAGCCAGGAUAUGGCUCUCAGCAAGUGCAACAACCAGGAUAUGUCUCUCACCAAACGCAGCAGCCCAGGUAUGGCUCUCAGCAAGCGCAACAGCCAGGAUAUGGCUCUCAGCAAGGCAGCAGCCAGGUUAUGGCUCUCAGCAAGCGCAGCAGCUAG